UACUGAAGGGGCUAGCGUUGUUCGGAAUUAUUGGGCGUAAAGAGCGCGUAGGCGGCUUACCAAGUUGGGGGUGAAAUCCCGGAGCUCAACUCCGGAACUGCCUUCAAAACUGGUAGGCUCGAGUCCGGAAGAGGGGCGUGGAAUUCCCAGUGUAGAGGUGAAAUUCGUAGAUAUUGGGAAGAACACCGGUGGCGAAGGCGGCGCCCUGGUCCGGUACUGACGCUGAGGCGCGACAGCGUGGGGAGCUAAUAGG
rnacentral:rRNA from 1 species